GUAACGGCGAGUGAAGCGGCAACAGCUCAAAUUUGAAAUCUGGGGUCCGAGUUGUAAUUUGCAGAGGGUGCUUUGGCAUCGGCGGCGGUCUAAGUUCCUUGGAACAGGACAUCGCAGAGGGUGAGAAUCCCGUACGUGGGCGCCUGCCUUUGCCGUGUAAAGCCCCUUCGACGAGUCGAGUUGUUUGGGAAUGCAGCUCUAAAUGGGAGGUAAAUUUCUUCUAAAGCUAAAUACCGGCCAGAGACCGAUAGCGCACAAGUAGAGUGAUCGAAAGAUGAAAAGUACUUUGGAAAGAGAGUCAAAUAGCACGUGAAAUUGUUGAAAGGGAAGCGCUUGCAGCCAGACUUGCCCGCAGUUGCUCACCCAGGCUCCGGCCUGGGGCACUCUUCUGCGGGCAGGCCAGCAUCAGUUUGGGCGGUUGGAUAAAGGCCUCUGUCACGUAUCUCCCUUAAUGCAACCAGCCCGGACUGAGGUCCGCGCAUCUGCUAGGAUGCUGGCGUAAUGGCUGUAAGCGGCCCGUCUUGAAACACGGACCAAGGAGUCUAACAUCUAUGCGAGUGUUUGGGUGUCAAGCCCGGGCGCGUAAUGAAAGUGAACGGAGGUGGGAACCGGUGCACCAUCGACCGAUCCUGAUGUCUUCGGAUGGAUUUGAGUAAGAGCAUAGCUGUUGGGACCCGAAAGAUGGUGAACUAUGCUUGAAUAGGGUGAAGCCAGAGGAAACUCUGGUGGAGGCUCGCAGCGGUUCUGACGUGCAAAUCGAUCGUCAAAUUUGGGCAUAG
rnacentral:rRNA from 1 species